rnacentral:pre_miRNA from 1 species
AUUUGAUCGAUCUUCAUUCUGAUAAAAGUGAAAAUCAAAAUGAAGACUGUUCAAAAUGA